rnacentral:tRNA from 1 species
AAGAGGUUAGUUAACAAAAUAACAUUGGUAUGUCAAACCAAAAUAGUCCAAUAGACACCUCUUU